rnacentral:rRNA from 1 species
GCUGGCAGCUGGCUCUCUGCAACUCUCACAUGGUCGCCCACUGAAGCUAAGCAGGGCUGUGCCUGGUCAGUGCCUGGAUGGGAGACCACAUGGGAAAGCUAGGUUGCUGCCGGAA